UGCCAGACUCCUACGGGAGGCAGCAGUGGGGGAUAUUGGACAAUGGGGGGAACCCUGAUCCAGCGACGCCGCGUGAGUGAAGAAGUAUCUCGGUAUGUAAAGCUCUAUCAGCAGGGAAGAAAGAAAUGACGGUACCUGAGUAAGAAGCCCCGGCUAACUACGUGCCAGCAGCCGCGGUAAUACGUAGGGGGCAAGCGUUAUCCGGAUUUACUGGGUGUAAAGGGAGCGUAGACGGCGAUGCAAGCCAGAUGUGAAAGCCCGGGGCUCAACCCCGGGACUGCAUUUGGAACUGUGUGGCUGGAGUGUCGGAGAGGCAAGUGGAAUUCCUAGUGUAGCGGUGAAAUGCGUAGAUAUUAGGAGGAACACCAGUGGCGAAGGCGGCCUGCUGGACGAUGACUGACGUUGAGGCUCGAAAGCGUGGGGAGCAAACAGGAUUAGAUACCCGUGUA
rnacentral:rRNA from 1 species